rnacentral:rRNA from 1 species
ACGAUGAAGUUCUCUUCGGAGAGCGGAUUAGUGGCGAACGGGUGAGGAACACGUGAAGAAUCUGCCCUCCACUUUGGGAUAACUCCGGGAAACCGGGGCUAAUACCGAAUAUUGAAGCAUAAGCGGCAUCGCUGAGCUUUGAAAGAAUUUCGGUGGAGGAUGACUUCGCGGCCUAUCAGCUUGUUGGUGAGGUAAUGGCUCACCAAGGCUACGACGGGUAUCCGGCCUGAGAGGGCGACCGGACACACUGGGACUGAGACACGGCCCAGACUCCUACGGGAGGCAGCAGUGGGGAAUAUUGGGCAAUGGACGCAAGUCUGACCCAGCGACGCCGCGUGAGGGAUAAAGGCCUUCGGGUUGUAAACCUCUUUCAGUAGGGAAGAAGCGAAAGUGACGGUACCUACAAAAGAAGCACCGGCUAACUAUGUGUCUGUG